UUUAUAUGAGAGUUUGAUCCUGGCUCAGGAUGAACGCUGGCGGUGUGCCUAAUACAUGCAAGUCGAACGCGUUGGCCCAAUUGAUUGAUGGUGCUUGCACCUGAUUGAUUUUGGUCGCCAACGAGUGGCGGACGGGUGAGUAACACGUAGGUAACCURCCCAGAAGCGGGGGACAACAUUUGGAAACAGAUGCUAAUACCGCAUAACAGCGUUGUUCGCAUGAACAACGCUUAAAAGAUGGCUUCUCGCUAUCACUUCUGGAUGGACCUGCGGUGCAUUAGCUUGUUGGUGGGGUAACGGCCUACCAAGGCGAUGAUGCAUAGCCGAGUUGAGAGACUGAUCGGCCACAAUGGGACUGAGACACGGCCCAUACUCCUACGGGAGGCAGCAGUAGGGAAUCUUCCACAAUGGGCGCAAGCCUGAUGGAGCAACACCGCGUGAGUGAAGAAGGGUUUCGGCUCGUAAAGCUCUGUUGUUAAAGAAGAACACGUAUGAGAGUAACUGUUCAUACGUUGACGGUAUUUAACCAGAAAGUCACGGCUAACUACGUGCCAGCAGCCGCGGUAAUACGUAGGUGGCAAGCGUUAUCCGGAUUUAUUGGGCGUAAAGAGAGUGCAGGCGGUUUUCUAAGUCUGAUGUGAAAGCCUUCGGCUUAACCGGAGAAGUGCAUCGGAAACUGGAUAACUUGAGUGCAGAAGAGGGUAGUGGAACUCCAUGUGUAGCGGUGGAAUGCGUAGAUAUAUGGAAGAACACCAGUGGCGAAGGCGGCUACCUGGUCUGCAACUGACGCUGAGACUCGAAAGCAUGGGUAGCGAACAGGAUUAGAUACCCUGGUAGUCCAUGCCGUAAACGAUGAGUGCUAGGUGUUGGAGGGUUUCCGCCCUUCAGUGCCGGAGCUAACGCAUUAAGCACUCCGCCUGGGGAGUACGACCGCAAGGUUGAAACUCAAAGGAAUUGACGGGGGCCCGCACAAGCGGUGGAGCAUGUGGUUUAAUUCGAAGCUACGCGAAGAACCUUACCAGGUCUUGACAUCUUGCGCCAACCCUAGAGAUAGGGCGUUUCCUUCGGGAACGCAAUGACAGGUGGUGCAUGGUCGUCGUCAGCUCGUGUCGUGAGAUGUUGGGUUAAGUCCCGCAACGAGCGCAACCCUUGUUACUAGUUGCCAGCAUUAAGUUGGGCACUCUAGUGAGACUGCCGGUGACAAACCGGAGGAAGGUGGGGACGACGUCAGAUCAUCAUGCCCCUUAUGACCUGGGCUACACACGUGCUACAAUGGACGGUACAACGAGUCGCGAACUCGCGAGGGCAAGCAAAUCUCUUAAAACCGUUCUCAGUUCGGACUGCAGGCUGCAACUCGCCUGCACGAAGUCGGAAUCGCUAGUAAUCGCGGAUCAGCAUGCCGCGGUGAAUACGUUCCCGGGCCUUGUACACACCGCCCGUCACACCAUGAGAGUUUGUAACACCCAAAGUCGGUGGGGUAACCUUUUAGGAGCCAGCCGCCUAAGGUGGGACAGAUGAUUAGGGUGAAGUCGUAACAAGGUAGCCGUAGGAGAACCUGCGGCUGGAUCACCUCCUUUCUA
rnacentral:rRNA from 1 species